rnacentral:rRNA from 1 species
UACGUAGGGUGCGAGCGUUGUCCGGAAUUAUUGGGCGUAAAGGGCUCGUAGGCGGUUUGUCGCGUCGGGAGUGAAAACGCCGUGCUUAACACAGCGCUUGCUUUCGAUACGGGCAGACUAGAGGUAUGCAGGGGAGAACGGAAUUCCUGGUGUAGCGGUGAAAUGCGCAGAUAUCAGGAGGAACACCGGUGGCGAAGGCGGUUCUCUGGGCAUUACCUGACGCUGAGGCGCGAAAGCUAGGGGAGCAAACGGG